rnacentral:rRNA from 1 species
CCUACGGGUGGCAGCAGUGAGGAAUAUUGGUCAAUGGACGAGAGUCUGAAGCAGCCAAGUAGCGUGAAGGAUGACUGCCCUAUGGGUUGUAAACUUCUUUUAUAUGGGAAUAAAACGUUCCACGUGUGGGAUUUUGUAUGUACCAUAUGAAUAAGGAUCGGCUAACUCCGGGCCAGCAGCCGCGGUAAUACGGAGGAUCCGAGCGUUAUCCGGAUUUAUUGGGUUUAAAGGGAGCGUAGGUGGAUUGUUAAGUCAGUUGUGAAAGUUUGCGGCUCAACCGUAAAAUUGCAGUUGAAACUGGCAGUCUUGAGUACAGUAGAGGUGGGCGGAAUUCGUGGUGUAGCGGUGAAAUGCGUAGAUAUCACGAAGAACUCCGAUGGCGAAGGCAGUUCACUGGACUGAAACUGACACUGAGGCUCGAAAGUGUGGGGAUCAAACAGGAUUAGAUACCCCAGUAGUC